GAUGAACGCUAGCUACAGGCUUAACACAUGCAAGUCGAGGGACCGGCGCACGGGUGAGUAACACGUAUCCAACCUGCCCUUUACUCGGGGCUAGCCUUUCGAAAGAAAGAUUAAUACCCGAUGUAAAGGAUGGGGAUGCGUUCCAUUUGGUUGUUGGUGAGGUAACGGCUCACCAAGCCUUCGAUGGAUAGGGGGUCUGAGAGGAAGGUCCCUCACAUUGGAACUGAGACACGGUCCAAACUCCUACGGGAGGCAGCAGUGAGUAAGAUUGGUCAAUGGGCGUUAGCCUGAAACAGCCAAGUAGCGUGAAGGAUGAAGGCUUAUGGGGCGUAAACUUCUUUUAUAUAAGAAGAGGUAUUAUAUGAAUAAGGAUCGGCUAACUCCGUGCCAGCAGCCGCGGUAAUAC
rnacentral:rRNA from 1 species